CCAGUGAUCAUGAAUCAUAAAUUCACAUAUUUAUGUUAACUGGACUACACGCUCUUUUGCUACGGCAAUUAAACUCUAAGUUUUAUUGUUAUAAAAUUCAACAACGACAUAUUUACAUUUGGAAAUAUCCUAGAAAUCUUUGAUUUCUUCGUACCUAAUGUUGUGAAGUUGUGGUGGUCUAUUAAAAGUAAAAGAGCUAUUGCAG
rnacentral:sRNA from 12 species